AAGCCUGAUGCAGCAACGCCGCGUGAGGGACGACGGCCUUCGGGUUGUAAACCUCUUUUAGCAGGGAAGAAGCGAAAGUGACGGUACCUGCAGAAAAAGCACCGGCUAACUACGUGCCAGCAGCCGCGGUAAUACGUAGGGUGCAAGCGUUAUCCGGAAUUAUUGGGCGUAAAGAGCUCGUAGGCGGUUUGUCGCGUCUGCUGUGAAAACCCGAGGCUCAACCUCGGGCCUGCAGUGGGUACGGGCAGACUAGAGUGCGGUAGGGGAGAUUGGAAUUCCUGGUGUAGCGGUGGAAUGCGCAGAUAUCAGGAGGAACACCGAUGGCGAAGGCAGAUCUCUGGGCCGUAACUGACGCUGAGGAGCGAAAGGGUGGGGAGCAAACAGGCUUAGAUACCCUGGUAGUCCACCCCGUAAACGUUGGGAACUAGUUGUGGGGUCCAUUCCACGGAUUCCGUGACGCAGCUAACGCAUUAAGUUCCCCGCCUGGGGAGUACGGCCGCAAGGCUAAAACUCAAAGGAAUUGACGGGGACCCGCACAAGCGGCGGAGCAUGCGGAUUAAUUCGAUGCAACGCGAAGAACCUUACCAAGGCUUGACAUAUACGAGAACGGGCCAGAAAUGGUCAACUCUUUGGA
rnacentral:rRNA from 1 species